rnacentral:rRNA from 1 species
AUGAACGCUGGCGGCGUGCCUCACACAUGCAAGUCGCGCGAUUUACUUCGGUAAAGAGCGGCGGACGGGUGAGUAACGCGUGGGUAACCUGCCCUGUACACACGGAUAACAUACCGAAAGGUAUGCUAAUACGAGAUAAUAUGCUUUUAUCGCAUGGUAGAAGUAUCAAAGCUUUUGCGGUACAGGAUGGACCCGCGUCUGAUUAGCUAGUUGGUGAGGUAACGGCUCACCAAGGCGACGAUCAGUAGCCGACCUGAGAGGGUGAUCGGCCACAUUGGAACUGAGACACGGUCCAAACUCCUACGGGAGGCAGCAGUGGGGAAUAUUGCACAAUGGGCGAAAGCCUGAUGCAGCAACGCCGCGUGAGCGAUGAAGGCCUUCGGGUCGUAAAGCUCUGUCCUCAAGGAAGAUAAUGACGGUACUUGAGGAGGAAGCCCCGGCUAACUACGUG